UAUUUAUUAUACCUCCAUCCACAGGGAUCCUAAGUGCCAAAUGUAAUGCAUCAGCCGCAAAACAAAAAUGAGGUAAGAGAAGGAAAAGAAAAUAAUCAAAGACAAAGCACGAUCUGACAUAUGAGGAAAAGAAACUUUGGUCAAGCUUCGGCAGUAUAACAAUUCUAAUGAGAAGUGAAAGCAUGAUAUGUUACAUUGGUGAUACCGCUUGGGUGACUAUUAACCAUCUACAUUGUUGGACGAGUCAUCACUUUAGCAUUUUGCGAAAAACUGGAGCAUCUUUGGCAUAUAUGGAGAUGUACGACUGAAGCAGUACUGACUCACAUAUAGAACUUAAGGGGAAAGACCAAAAAGCAUCAUGGCCCCCUCUCUCUUACCACCAUCAGUUCAGAAAAGUGCAAGACGUUCAGUCAAAAUUUGCUUCCAAUUCAGAGUGCCAUAUAUUGUCUUGUGCUUGAAGAUGAAAUUCCCAUUAAUGUCAAUGGAGAAUCCAGGCACGGGGCAAAGGAAACUCAAGACUUUGGCAACAGUGACACAAUUCUCCCAGUGAAGGAAGAAUG